GACGAACGCUGGCGGCGUGCUUAACACAUGCAAGUCGAACGGAAAGGCCCUGUUUUUGUGGGCUGCUCGUGUGGCGAACGGGUGUGAAACACGUGAGUAACCUCCCCUUGACUGUGGGAUAACUUCAGGAAACUGGGGCUAAUACCGGAUAGGAGCUCCUGCAACAGGGUGAGGGUUGGAAAGCUUCGGCGGUUGGGGAUGGACUCUCGGCUUAUCAGCUUGUUGGUGGGGUAGUGGCUUACCAAGGCUUUGACGGGUAGCCGGCAUGAGAGGGUGACCGGCGACAUUGGGACUGAGAGACGGCCCAGAGGCCUACGGGAGGCAGCAGUGGGGAAUAUUGCACAAUGGGCGGACGCCUGAUGCAGCAGCGCCGCGUGCGGGAUGACGGCCUGCGGGGUGUAAACCGCUUUGGCCUGUGACGAAGCGUGAGUGACGGUAAUGGGUAAAGAAGCACCGGCUAACUACGUG
rnacentral:rRNA from 1 species